UACGGAGGGGGCUAGCGUUGUUCGGAAUUACUGGGCGUAAAGCGCACGUAGGCGGCUUUGCAAGUUAGAGGUGAAAGCCCGGGACUCAACCCCGGAAUUGCCUUUAAAACUGCAUCGCUAGAAUUGUGGAGAGGUAAGUGGAAUUCCGAGUGUAGAGGUGAAAUUCGUAGAUAUUCGGAAGAACACCAGUGGCGAAGGCGGCUCACUGGACUGGUAUUGACGCUGAGGUGCGAAAGCGUGGGGAGCAAACAGG
rnacentral:rRNA from 1 species